UGAGAUUACCCUUAGAGGGUAGGUUGCUGUUGCUCGUGAGAUGAUCACGCUCACAUUGCCUGUCUGCGCUUGGUGGGGUCGCUCCCCCCAGGUUGUGCGCUCCGGAGAUUGGUCACUAGAGAGGCAGCCCUGCUUGCUGCUCGGAUAGCCGCUUGUUAUCCGCAGGCGUACUCGGGGAUAGUCCAGCUAGGCAUCCCUCGGAGAUUGAUAUGUGAGCCUUGCUUGUGAACCACGAGUUCACCUUGAGAUUGGGUUACCUAUUGAGCCAUACCCAUUGUUGUUGUUCAUGAUAGCUUGCUUCCAUAGUUGUUGUUGUUGAUCAUAGUUGCCUUUGGCUUACCGGCUGAUUGGGUGGUCUAAUGAAUAGCCCUAUUGAUGAACCUAGUGGUAUGGUAGUUAACCUUCACUAGACUUACCUUGAUAGCGAGCAUAGUCGCUUGGUAGUUGGUUUAGCGGAUUUGCCUAUAUACAGUGAGUGAUAUACUAUUCCUUCACCUAUGAGAUUUGAGUACCUAUUGAGUCAUACUCAUUAUUGUUGUUCAUGAUAGCUUGCUUCCAUAGUUGUUGUUGUUGUUCACCUAUGAGAUUUGAGUGGAGUAGCCCUGUACCUAGUAGGUCGAGAUGUGAGUCGGGCAAAGUGCGGGGUAGCCUUUGCCUAGGACCUUGAGAUGUGAGUCGGGCAAAGUGCGGGGUAGCCUUUGCCUAGGACCUUGAGAUGUGAGUCGGGCGAGGGGCGGGGUAGCUCUUUGCCUGGGACUCACGAGAUUGGGUCAGACCUUUGAGAUAUGAGUCGAGUGAGUCAAGAAUGAGGUAGCUUUUCACCUACUAGAUUUGAGAUCUUAGGCAAAGUAGCCUAGUGGAAUGGGCAAUAACGUGAAUAGCAUAAGUGAAUUGCAUUCAUACCAUGAUUAGACAUAGUGCAUUGCAUAACUAUGUUAUAGUUGUAUUCAUUUCACUGUUGAGGCAUACUAGCAUGAUGGUAGGUUAUUGCUAGAUGAUGUUCCAUGCAUACUUUGCAUUUGAUGGCAUAGUAGAUAUAGUAGUAGUAUUUCCAUAUAUCUUUCUAUCUAUCUAUCUGUGCCAGCUUGGACCUAGUGGGAAGAUCGGCGGAGUCGGCGGCCGAACCCACUGGGAACUAUAUUUAUAUAGUUCUCACCCCGUGUGGUUUUGGGGUACAGGUACACACG
rnacentral:lncRNA from 1 species